rnacentral:rRNA from 1 species
AUGGCCACGCUAAUGGCGGAACUUGCAAUUGGUUUGGCCAAGAUGGUGGUGGAGGGGACGCUCAACAGGGCUCAGGUGGCGAUCGAGCAGGAAGCCAGGAUGCGGAGGAGCGCCAAGAGUGACAUGUUGUACAUCACUCUGGAGUUCGAGAUGAUCCACUCCUUCCUGGACGUCGCCAAUCAACAACGCGUCAUGAACAAUCUGGUGAAGACCUGGGUGAAGCAGGUCCGGGAGCUCGCCUACGACGUCGAGGAUUGCAUCGAGUUCGUCGUCCACGUCGGCAUGCAGACCAGGUGGUGGUUCCGAAUAAUCCCCAACUGCGCCGGCCCAAAGACAUUUUUGCUGGAAGAGGCGGUCCAGGAGUUGGAGGAGCUCAGGGCCAGGGCUGAGGAAUUGAGUAAGUGUUACUUACGCUACAACCACAUCACCGACUCUGAACCCAUGCUCUUCAGGCUGCAACAACAUGCAUCUGGCUCCACCGCUGGUGGAGCAAUAGUACUGGACAUGCUCAUCAGGGCAAGGGAUGCACCGAUUCGGGAUCUCGCCCUGCUGAUCACCAAGAAAGAUGACCAAGACCUUCAAGUUAUCUCGGUGUGGGAAACAGUGGACAGCGACCUUGGGACGACAUCCAUCAUCAGGAAGGUCUACAAUGACCCUUCAGUCGUCUCUUACUUCAACUGUCAUGCCUGGGUGAAGAUUAUGCACCCUUUCAAUCCUCAUGAUUUUGUCCGGAGCCUUAUGGCUCAGUUCUCAGCAAACUCUUGCGAUCAACGACAAAGAGCAACAAUAGGUAUGCAUGUCCUAACCAAGAUGCAGGGCACCCAGGAAGAUCAGCUCUUCGACGAGUUGGAGCAAUUGAUCACGAACAAGAGGCACCUCAUUGUAUUGGAAGGCCUUUCAAACAUGGUAGAAUGGGAUGCUAUCAUGGCGUUCCUUCCUAACAUGAAGAAUGGCAGCUGGAUCAUCGUGUCCACGCAGCGCUUCGAGAUAGCAAGCUUGUGCAUCGGACAUUCAUACCAGCUAACGGAACUGAAGCGCUUCUCGGCUGAGCACUCCGUUUGUGCCCUCUUCAAGGAGGGUUCUCAAGGAGGUGGAGAGAGAGGCGACAAAUCAAUAAUGUUGCGUGCAGUAAGCCAAAAUUAUUCCUCCUCUCAAAAGGAAGCAGUCGCUGAGUGGUUGAAUAAUUCUCACCUUGUUGGACGGGAGUCACAGCUGAAUGAACUUCGUAUUUGUACACUUAAAGCGCCCUUCAGCUCUUCCAGUGUUAUUUCUGUGUGGGGGAUGGUUGGCGUCGGGAAAUCAGCUCUUGUGAGAAACUUGUACUAUGACAGAAUGCUUCAUAGUGAACAAUUCAGCAGGUACAGUUGGGUGGACGUAUCUCAUCCCUUCGAUCUGAAUGACUUCUGUCGGAGCUUACUUGUGGAUCUUCAUUCGGUAAAAGACCCCGUUAAGGAGUGCUGCCAGCUUUUGAAUAAUCAUCCGUGCCUCAUUGUUAUUGAUGAUCUCCGGUCCAAACAAGAAUGGGAUAUGAUACGAACAAACUUGGUACCAAAAUCUUCUAAAAGUCUUGUCAUUGUCGUCACAACUGAAGCAAGCAUUGCUACAUAUUGCACAAACAAUGAAGAGCUCGUGUUUCAUGUCAAAUGUCUAGCACCUGAUGCCGCCUUUCGUCUCUUCAACAACAAGGUGGGUAGAAAUAAUCCAUCAUUCCCUGUAUUGAAUCACAUGAAGAAGGAACUAGAAGAAGUUAUCUUACGAUGUGGAGGUCUUCCCAAACUGAUAAUUGCUAUAGCUGACUCAUUGGCGACACAGACGGUCACAUUAAUGGAUAGUGUGCAUUCUUUGAAUCACAAAUUCAUGCACCAUCUAAAGAACAAUGUGGGGCACCAUGGCUUACGGGAUCUAUUCAGUUGGAUGCAUUCCCACAUCCACAGUUGCCCGGAUUCACUCAAGCCAUGUAUUUUCUACCUACCAAUUUUUCCUCAAGAUUGCAAACUCCGGCGGAGGCGACUAAUAAGGCGGUGGAUUGCAGAGGGUUACUCCAGAGACAACACUACAGAAUCUGCGGAGGAGAACGGGGAGAAGCAAUUCUCCGACCUGCUUGGUAUGGGCAUAAUCCAGCAGCCAUCAGAAAAAUUAACCACCGCUGAACCAGGCGACACAAGGAUGGUCUCAUGCCAGGUCAAUGGUUUUAUGCACGAGUACAUCAUCUCAAGUCGGUUGGAAGAGAACUUUGUGUUUGAACUGGGGGACAAUAGUGCCUUAACCACCCGGCGUACGGGGCGUCACCUGGUCAUACUGACAAGUUGGGACAGAGAUCAAACUGUGUUCGAGAGCAUCGACUUCUCGCGGCUACGGUCGCUGACCGUUUUUGGGAAGUGGAAAUCAUUCUUCAUCAACUGGAACACUGAUAUGAGAGUGCUUCGGGUGCUUGAUCUAGAAAAUGCAUUUGGCCUGAAAGAUCAUGAUCUCGAGAGGAUAGUGCAGCUAUUGGGUCGGCUGAAGUUCCUCUCUCUACGAGGAUGCCAUGAGCUCUCUCGAUUGCCAAGUUCACUGGGUCUUUUAAGGCAGCUACAGAGUUUGGAUGUCAGGGACACAGGCAUAAGUGUCCUGCCAAAGAACAUCACCGAACUAAAGGAAUUGCAGUACAUUCGUGCCGGCACGGGACCCGCUUCAUAUGGACUCCGUUGCCGAGCCGGUGUUCAGGUGCAUGGAUGUGUUAGCAGACUUUCAGCGUUGCACACGCUUGGAGUUGUCAACAUUGGUGCUUCAGGGGGGCUGACCAUCACGAGAGAGCUCAAGUUGCUCACUCAAUUGCGCAAGCUUGGAGUGUCUGGCGUCAACCGGAAGAACAUCAAGGAUUUUCUCUCUACAAUCUCAGGUCAUGUCCAUCUAGAAUCCUUGUCUGUGCAGCUUGACAAGGGUAAUGAAGGCUGCUUGGAUGAUAUCGUUUUGCCUUGCGAGAACCUACGGAGUCUUAAACUGUAUGGACUCGGAGAUAAGAUGCCUAUAGCGGCUUACAGCAGGUACAUGUCUGAAUAUGUACAGAGCAAUACCAAGUUACAAAAGUUGGAUCUGGAGAUGAACACUUCAAAAAAAAUUGACAUUGAGUUCCUUGCCAUGCUGCCAAGACUGUGUGUCCUACGCCUUCAAGUCAAACAGCAGCUUCAGGAUGAUAAGCUACACUUUUAUGCUGAGAUGAAUGGAGAGGAGUUGGUCACCUUCAAAAAGUUGAAGAUCCUCGAGAUUGCUUGCAGCUCCAGCGAGUUACACGUUGCAUUUGGAUCAAAAUCGAUGCAAAAUCUUGAGCUGCUCAAGAUUGACUGCUCCAGUGCAUUAUAUCAGCUUUCCGGCAUGAAUAAUCUAUCUGAACUCAAGGAAGUCUUCCUCAAAGGUACCAAUGAUGAAGCGAUCAGGGCAGAGUUUGCGAGCCAUCUUGCCAGUCAUCCAAGGCAACCUGUCGUGAAGCUGGAGGAACAACUACCGCGCUCGUCCUGA